rnacentral:rRNA from 1 species
GACGAACGCUGGCGGCGUGCCUAACACAUGCAAGUCGAACGGAAAACAUAUCAAUAUGUUUUUAGUGGCGAACGGGUGAGUAACGCGUAGCCAACCAACCUUUUUGUGGGGGACAACACUUCGAAAGGAGUGCUAAUACCGCAUACGCUCUAGAUGCCGCCUGGUGUUUGGAGGAAAGCAGCUGUAAGGCUUCGCAAAAAGACGGGCCUGCGUCUGAAUAGCGAGGUGGAGGGGUAACGGCCAACCAAGGCGACGGUCAGUAGACGGUCUGUGAGGAUGGACGGCCACACUGGGACUGGGACACGGCCCAGACUCCUACGGGAGGCAGCAGUGGGGAAUCUUCCGUAAUGGACGAAAGUCUGGCGGAGCGACGCCGCGUGAGUGAUGAAGGCCCUUGGGUCGUAAAGCUCUGUCAGCAGGGACGAACGGUCACGUCAGGAAAUGGGCGUGAAUUGACGGUACCUGAGAAGGAAGCCACGGCUAACUACGUGCCAGCCGCCGCGGUAACA